CGUAGGUGGCAAGCGUUGUCCGGAAUUAUUGGGCGUAAAGCGCGCGCAGGCGGUCCUUUAAGUCUGAUGUGAAAGCCCACGGCUCAACCGUGGAGGGUCAUUGGAAACUGGGGGACUUGAGUACAGAAGAGAAGAGUGGAAUUCCACGUGUAGCGGUGAAAUGCGUAGAGAUGUGGAGGAACACCAGUGGCGAAGGCGACUCUUUGGUCUGUAACUGACGCUGAGGCGCGAAAGCGUGGGGAGCAAACAGGAUUAGAUACCCUGGUAAUCCACGCUGUAAACGAUGAGUGCUAAGUGUUAGAGGGUUUCCGCCCUUUAGUGCUGCAGCUAACGCAUUAAGCACUCCGCCUGGGGAGUACGGCCGCAAGGCUG
rnacentral:rRNA from 1 species